rnacentral:rRNA from 1 species
UGCGCAGGCGGCUAGGUAAGACAGAUGUGAAAUCCCCGGGCUUAACCUGGGAACUGCAUUUGUGACUGCCUGGCUAGAGUCUGUCAGAGGGGGGUGGAAUUCCACGUGUAGCAGUGAAAUGCGUAGAGAUGUGGAGGAACACCGAUGGCGAAGGCAGCCCCCUGGGAUGAGACUGACGCUCAUGCACGAAAGCGUGGGGGAGCAAACAGGAUUAGACUACCCUGGUAGUCCACGCCCUAAACGAUGUCGACUAGUUGUCGGGGAUUAACUUUCUCGGUAACGCAGCUAACGCGUGAAGUCGACCGCCGUGGGGAGUACGGUCGCAAGAUUAAA